rnacentral:tRNA from 1 species
GCUCCCAUCGUCUAGCCUGGCCUAGGACGCAUCCCUUUCACGGAUGAAACAUGGGUUCGAAUCCCGUUGGGAGCA